UACGAAGGGUGCAAGCGUUGCUCGGAAUUACUGGGCGUAAAGCGUGCGUAGGUGGUUUGUUAAGUCUGGUGUGAAAGCCCCGGGCUCAACCUGGGAAUGGCAAUGGAUACUGGCAGGCUAGAGUGCGGUAGAGGGUAGUGGAAUUCCCGGUGUAGCGGUGAAAUGCGUAGAGAUCGGGAGGAACACCGGUGGCGAAGGCGGUUCGCUGGGCCGUACCUGACGCUGAGGAGCGAAAGCGUGGGGAGCGAACAGG
rnacentral:rRNA from 1 species